AGUGAACGCUGGCGGUAGGCCUAACACAUGCAAGUCGAACGGCAGCACAGGAGAGCUUGCUCUCUGGGUGGCGAGUGGCGGACGGGUGAGGAAUACAUCGGAAUCUACUUUUUCGUGAGGGAUAACGUAGGGAAACUUACGCUAAUACCGCAUACGACCUACUGGUGAAAGCAGGGGACCUUCGGGCCUUGCGCGAUUGACUGAGCCGAUGUCGGAUUAGCUAGUUGGCGGGGUAAAGGCCCACCAAGGCGACGAUCCGUAGCUGGCCUGAGAGGAUGAACAGCCACACUGGAACUGAGACACGGUCCAGACUCCUACGGGAGGCAGCAGUGGGGAAUAUUGGACAAUGGGCGCAAGCCUGAUCCAGCCAUACCGCGUGGGUGAAGAAGGCCUUCGGGUUGUAAAGCCCUUUUGUUGGGAAAGAAAUCCAUCUGGUUAAUACCCGGGUGGGAUGACGGUACCCAAAGAAUAAGCACCGGCUAACUUCGUGCCAGCAGCCGCCGUAA
rnacentral:rRNA from 1 species